AGAUUCUAAUGCAGGCAUUUCCUCAAUAAGUCCUUGAAUCUCUCCCAUGCCUCGAACAGUGAUUCAAUAUCCAAUUAUGCAAAAGAUGUAAUCUCCUGACGCAACUU